rnacentral:rRNA from 1 species
CCUACGGGGGGCAGCAGUGAGGAAUAUUGGUCAAUGGACGAAAGCCUGAACCAGCCAAGUAGCGUGCAGGAUGACUGCCCUAUGGGUUGUAAACUUCUUUUAUAUGGGAAUAAAAUGUUCCACGUGUGGGAGUUUGUAUGUACCAUAUGAAUAAGGGUCGGCUAAAUCCGUGCCAGCAGCCGCGGUAAUACGGAGGAUCCGAGCGUUAUCCGGAUUUAUUGGGUUUAAAGGGAGCGUAGGUGGAUUGUUAAGUCAGUUGUGAAAGUUUGCGGCUCAACCGUGAAAUUGCAGUUGAAACUGGAAGUCGUGAGUACAGAAGAGGCGGGCGGAAUUCGUGGUGUAGCGGUGAAAUGCUUAGAUAUCACGAAGAACCCCGAUUGCGAAGGCAGUUCACUGGACUGCAACUGACACUGAGGCUCGAAAGUGUGGGUAUCAAACAGGAUUAGAUACCCUAGUAGUC